UACGGGGGGUGCGAGCGUUGUCCGGAAUCACUGGGCGUAAAGGGCGCGUAGGUGGUUUGAUAAGGGUGUGGUGAAAGCCCGGGGCUCAACCCCGGGUCUGCCGUGCCGACUGUCAAACUCGAGGGCUGUAGAGGCAGACGGAAUUCCCAGUGUAGCGGUGAAAUGCGUAGAUAUUGGGAAGAACACCGGAGGCGAAGGCGGAUUGCUGGGCCGACACUGACGCUGAGGCGCGAAAGCCAGGGGAGCGAACGGG
rnacentral:rRNA from 1 species